AAAGAUAUUUCUCAAGUCGCAGCUGGAGGCCCCUUGUGAAACGCCUGGAAAUAGCUGCUCGGCGCUACAGAGUUCCAUGGGCGCAGACUGCCAUUGACAUCCUUGCGAAGCGCGCAUACUCCCACGAGACGAGGAUCAGCUGUGGUUGCUCGGCUAAGGUGGUCAGUCGGCAGAGCCGUUGGUGUCUGUCUGAUCCCCGCUUCUCCCCCUUGGCAGGCGGGCGUAGCAUGAUGAUCUGGUUGGGUUCAACAAGGACGGCGCUCGCCUGAUCCAUCCAUUGCCUAUGCCUGGCCUGGGACUCCCAUGGUCCAUGGAUUUCGGUGCUUGUGAUGAAUGCGGACGACGCCAGGGUUUCUUCUUUGGGCUUCGGCGAGCGACACGGGCGUGGGAGCUGCUGUUUUUGUGCUUGGAUUUCCGUAGAGGAGGGUUGACAUGACAUGGCCAUCACCAUCCCCAUGCAUGACCUCAUACAUCAGCUGACUGACUGGAUGUGUUGGAUGCAUCUGCAUCCCUUACAGUUGCGUUGCGAUGCCAAGCUAAGCUUGCAGGUACCUGUACACCGUAUGGUAGGUGGGUGGGUGGUGCCUGUACUGUACACCGUAUGGUGUGAUAUAGAGAAGGGGGUUGACUUGAAGAAAGUACAGUAGAGAAAGAGAGCAAAUGUUUUUUGGUUUUGAUGA
rnacentral:lncRNA from 1 species